AUGAAUCAGAGCUCCGCAGAGCCGCGAGGGAUCCCAGUAGGAAUUGCUUUAUUCUGUUGUUUUUUCGCUGCCCGUGACCGAAGGCGGAGGCUCGGGCAGGGCUGCACUUGCUGCCUCGCGGGAUGCGCGCUGGGGAGGGAUGGAAAGUGGCUCCCGCAGCCCCGCGCUGUUCCAGGAAACGUGCGUAGGACGGGGCUUAAUCAGAUUACGGGGCUGCUGUGUUUGCAGGCUUCCUGCGUGAGUCUGAAGGGAAGAAGGAAAUUCUUCGCAUUAAACCGAGCUGGAAAUCGGGAACCGUGCGUUUCCUGUAUAUGCAAUAUUUUAUUUAUUUAUUUAUUUUUAAAUUUUGCGCAAACAGCUCACGCCGCUGCUUGUAGCGGUGGUGCUCUGCAAAGACCUCUGCUUGUUUUCGGUGGCCGAGGGGGACGUUUGGAGGAGAGGUGUGUGCUUUGGGGUCUCCUCCUGGCCUUUCGCAGCUGCUGCUCCCCUGCAGCAGGAGCUGUCGCAGGUGUCCUGCGCAGCCCCCGCGUGCGAAGGGCACUGCUGGGGGCCAGCUGCAGGAGCAGCAACCCCCGGGGGGGGGCACAAGUGUCGGGCUCUGGUUGCAGGGGAUUUCCUGCAUCCACCCGCUGAUGUUUGGGUAAGCUGUGGAUGAGUCUCGUCUCCUGCUGCGUCGCCUUCAAAAUGCCCUCGUGGUUGUUAGGAUGGGGCAGGGUUCGGUGCGUCUGUGCUGCAGCCCAGCCCUCCUGCUCUGUCCGUCCGUCUGUCCCUGCAGGACAGGCUGUGGGGCUCCGGGGGGGCUGUGUCUGUGGGGCUCUGUUCCUCCCUGUCGCUGGGGGCAGCGAGUGGGAGCCCUGAGCAGUGACAGUCCCCCCCGUCCAUCCGUGGCCGUGGCAGGAGCGUGCGUGCCCAGGGCGAAUCACAGCAGCUCCCCAUGCAAGAUCUUGGGGCUGGGGCAGCCUCAGGGCGAGCAGAAAUUACAUUUAUCUCGCUCGUUGCAGCGAUGGGGAGGGGGGGUAAGGGUGAGCUGAGCUUGCUCGCGGGGCUGGGGCUCGCUGCGACUGCCCUGAUUGUGUUAUCAGGUGAGGAGCCGGCCUCUCUGCAAGUAUCUGCUGGAGGCUUUCUGUGCCCCACGCUGGGGUGGUGCCCGGCCCCUGGUGGCUCUUAUCUUCCCGAGGGAGAAGCAGGCUCGUCUCUGGGCUGCUUGGUGGCCUGGGAGAAAAGGCACCAAGGCGGGGAGCGGGGAGAGGUGUCCCCCUCGGUGUGCGCCUCCAUCCGUGCGGUCCCUCUCCCGCACAGAGAGGGGUUUGCGCAGCUUCCCAGCAUCUCUGGAGGUAAGCCGUGCUGCAGCAGGCAUGGUUGUGGCUUCCCCCUGCGCUCCAGGCACCUCCGUGCCUCCCGUUGUGUCAUCUGGGGGAGAAGAUAUCGGUCCCGUUGGUGCGUGAGGGCCCUUCGUGCAACCCAAUCCGUUCCUCCUUCCUAUCGGGCUCACCCGGAUCCUGCCUUGUGACCUUGGGGUGUAAGGUCUGGAAAUUGCUCACAUUCCCAGUGCACGGUCAUCGUACCGCUAGCACAGCGCUGUGACCCCGUUCAGCAGCCCACCCACCUCCCGAGGCUGCUCCAGCAGAAGUUUUUCACUUAAAUAAAUUUCAACCUCGCCAUAACCCCCGCCGGAAC
ensembl:lncRNA